CUCUCUCUCUCUCUCUCUCUCUCUCUCUCUCAUUUCUUCUUCUCUCUUCUCUCUCAUCAAACCCUAAAAAUGUAUGGAAAAAAGCCACAGACCCCGCCACACUUAAACCCUUGGCUGACGACUAGAAGUGCCAGCCCUUCAACCACCGUCUCCGUAACUGUGGAACAAAAUUGUUGAAUCAUGGGACUGUUUUGAUUCUAUGGUCUUUGUGUUAGCAUUUGAUUUCGAAUCAGAGACUGUUUUGUUUCGAUAGUUCAUUGCAACAUUUUAAAUUGGUUCAGAAUAAAGUUACAACAUUAGUUUUACUGUUUAAACACGGUAUAAAAUAGAGAUUGAGGUUGUCAUCUAAUCACCUCCAAGGUGCUGUGUUUGAAAAACACCUAAAUUAUGGUGGUAACUGGCAGUUGUCCACCUCUCAACCAAACCCAUGCUUGUAGCAAUUAUAUCAAAGGAUUUUAAUUACGACUGCGAAUAAGCCGGUUAGAGUGCACGACUUAAAGUAUGCUGGUUUAGAUGUUGCGUCGAAGUUGUCAACUCUGAGGUCCGAACUUGCUAAGGCUGGUUCAUCUGCAAUUAUCGUCUCUGCGCUUGAUGAAAUUGCGUGGCUGUUGAACUUGAGAGGCAGCGAUAUCCCACAUUCACCUGUCGUGUAUGCAUAUUUGAUUGUGGAGAUUGAUGGAGCUAAAUUAUUUAUCGACAAUUCAAAAGUUACUGAAGAGGUGGAUGACCACUUGAAGAAAGCAAACAUAGAGAUCAGGCCAUACAAUUCAAUUA